CCUGUCCUUGCCAAUCAAUUAUCCAUAACCUCAGAACUCUCCUGAGCACUUCCCAACCAACACUGGCCACAAAACCUGGCCUUCCACCACUUCCCAACCAACACUGGCCACAAAACCUGGCCUUCCACCAUGCUAACCACUGGCCGACCUUUGGUUCAGUAGGCAUGUCAGUUAUAAACCAUAUAUUAAUUUCACCGAGGCUAGGGGAGGGAUUGUCCCCAC